rnacentral:rRNA from 1 species
UACGUAGGGUGCGAGCGUUAAUCGGAAUUACUGGGCGUAAAGCGUGCGCAGGCGGUUGUGCAAGACCGAUGUGAAAGCCCCGGGCUCAACCUGGGAACGGCAUUGGUGACUGCACGGCUAGAGUGUGUCAGAGGGGGGUAGAAUUCCACGUGUAGCAGUGAAAUGCGUAGAGAUGUGGCGGAAUACCGAUGGCGAAGGCAGCCCCCUGGGAUGACACUGACGCUCAUGCACGAAAGCGUGGGGAGCAAACAGG